CAAACUUUCCAUGUGCCAAGAAUAGCUCAAUGACAGGUGCCCUUUCAGACGAACCAAUUUUUUCCGUCCGCGCAUUGUCUUAUUCUAACUUAACAAGAACUCCAUUCUCUCUCUCUCUCUUUGCCCAAUUGAUUAUGGGGUGUUUCUUCAUUUUCAAACUUGGCAACACCAAAAACAGUUCCUAAAACACCUUCUUGGCUGCAAACGCAGGCAAUUGUAUGAGAAAAUACCUUUGCGGGUGCGUGCUAACGCUCUUUCUGUCAGCUCAAAACUCUUCACGUCUCUCUCGUCUUUACAACCCAGACUACUGAAAUUUUUUCUUCCGCUUAUAUCUCUUCACGUUCGCUUUUCUCUCUAAAUAUGCUUCUAUAGAGCUCUUGACUUAUCUCAAUAUUGAGUGUUAAAACUGAGAAGAAAAUGAAGAAGGAACAGAAGUCACACAUUGAGGGUUGAGCUCUUCAACAUGAAGAGAGAAGCUAAAAUUGACUUAAGAUCGUAUUUAAUUGAUUUGAUGAAUAUGUAUAUAUGUACGUUAAUCUUAUUUUAUAAUAAUAAGAAUAAUAUGUGCUGGAGCUUGAAAUUGGAAAGCGUGACUUUCCAUGGUCCUCUAUCUGUCUUUGAAGAGGAAGAGCUACUUGAAGCUUCCCUACCUUAUGUUUUUGCUUCGUCUUUGUGAUCUGGAUUUGGUUGACAUGAAAACUUUUGUAACUUUGACUCGAUAUUUACUAUCCCUAAAAUGAGAAAAAUGGUCUGCUUUCAGUUCUGGGAAAAUAUGCUCGACUUUGUAGCCAUGAAUGAUGUUUCCCAAGAAGGCAAUCUUCUUGUACAGGUUGGGAAUCCCUUCUCUGGGCACGCCGAUUUUUGUCGACUCUUAUUUUGUUUCCUUCUUAGGGCAGGAGCAAAUUAGGUCUGUUUUUGUUUCCAGCACCAUUUGUUGUUUGGUUCUGGGGGAUAACAACAAACAACUUCUAUUUCCUGGAGCAAAUUAGGUAAGUUUACCCGCUAAUAUCUUUUCAUGUUAGCUUUGUUUCCACAUGUAUUAUGCAGCAAUAUUCUUCUGAUUUUAUGUGAUUUAUUUGGUGGAUUUGUUCUAAGUUUAGAUGCAAUUAAUCUUUUUCCCCUUGAUGGGGUAGUUUCAAUA